GGCUAGUUCAUUUUCCUGACAGUUUAAGUUUACUUACAAUCAACAGCAUUGUAGCAAAAGAACCGACGGUAACAAGAGAAGCUUUCGGCAGUAACCAGUAACAAACAACAGAGAGGGAGACACAACGUUUCGAGGUCGGGGUCACCUACAAAACAUCACCCCUGGAGGUGGAGGACCUGACUCAUGGACACAUCAGCAGGACAGUGCUUAGCAGUUCUGAAUACACUUGUCAUGAGGUGUUGAAACAAACCCAUGCAGUCAGUGGGACCAUCCCUACAUGAUGUAAAAUCUAAAAUAAUUUUUCUUAAGAAAUCAAUAACAUUUAAAAUCUUUGCACUGAGCUAAGUAAGCAAAUGAAAAUUCACUGUUGUAUUUAUAGCUCAACCAUUGUGUACAAUCCAAACAACUGAAAUUUCAAAUUCUAUACAAUGUAUGAGCCUAUAAUGGCUUCAUAUACAGAAUGAGUUACUAUAUGUUACAUGGUGUACUGAUAUAUGAUAUAUAUCAAUAUGCAAUAUGCAGUCAAUGAAUCCAAGCAUACAUCUAUGA